UUGUAUCUAAUCAACUAUUAUAGUUAUUAUUAGCAUAUCUAUUUAUCUAUGUACAUUCCCCAAACAUAAUCCAUUCAGAUAAUGUCAAUUAACAGGAACAUGAUAAAAGGACAUUUAAAAUAACUCAAACACUGAAUUUUAUCAGACAUGAGACUCAGUUAUUGUUCAUGCACUAUUUCAAACUGUAUCAAGCCAUAAUGGCAGAUUCUUGGGGGCAGAGGAAAAUAAUUCCUUACUUCAUUUUUUAUGUCACCUUCAUGGCUAUUCUUGCAAUGUUUCUUUACACAACAAAUUUGUGAAGUAUCAAAUAGUGAGCAAGCAUUGCAGAAACUCUGAUAUAUGCUGAUAUCAGCAUUGUGUUCUUUCAUUUUCUGUGUCUUUAGUCAUUGCUCAGGAUGCCUCAUUUAUCUUUUUUCUCUCUAAAGCUUUAGGGAAUUCUGUGCUUCACAGCAGUGUCAUAACACUUCUAAAGCAAGCACCGAAGCAAGGGUACUGCUUUAAUGAAGGGGAGCUGUUUGAUAAAGGUAAUGUAGGCAGCAUACAGCACACCACAGUAUGUACUGCAGCCAUUUUGAGUAGAACUAAUUCCUCCAAUCAGCAAUGAAUUUGCUGUCAGGUGUGCAGUGUCUUGCAGUCAUUGCUGCUUGAGUUGUCUGCAGUUCAUCAAUACUCAGGGACAAAGCAACCCACUGAGAAAGAUGCUCCAGGUCCUGCCAUACAAAAU